AGCGAACGCUGGCGGCAGGCCUAACACAUGCAAGUCGAGCGCCGUAGCAAUACGGAGCGGCAGACGGGAGAGUAACACGUGGGAACGUACCCUUUGGUUCGGAACAACCCAGGGAAACUUGGGCUAAUACCGGAUAAGCCCUCACGGGGAAAGAUUUAUCGCCGAAGGAUCGGCCCGCGUCUGAUUAGGUAGUUGGUGGGGUAAUGGCCCACCAAGGCGACGAUCAGUAGCUGGUCUGAGAGGAUGAUCAGCCUCACUGGGACUGAGACACGGCCCAGACUCCUACGGGAGGCAGCAGUGGGGAAUAUUGGACAAUGGGCGCAAGCCUGAUCCAGCCAUGCCGCGUGGGUGAUGAAGGCCCUAGGGUUGUAAAGCCCUUUCGGCGGGGAAGAUAAUGACGGUACCCGCAGAAGAAGCCCCGGCUAACUCCGUGCCAGCAGCCGCCGUAAAAC
rnacentral:rRNA from 1 species